AAGAGGAACAGGGGAUACAAUCCCAAUACUGUGUUCAUCGAUUAAAUAAAUACUGUCAUGUCUGAUGACUGCAGUUUUAAAGGUUUUUACAAAACUGGCUAGAUUACCCACGCUAGCGAGAGAAGCAGUAAGCGUACUUAAAGGGCUGGAGGCAGUGUCUGGCUUUGACUUACAGAUCUUCCAGAAAGCCAAGGGAGAGGCCAUGGCAGAGUGGGGCGGAAGGUCCUUUGGAGAUCUGGCACCAUGAGGCAAAGACUUGUACAGGGAAAAGGGGCAAGAGGUGAAGUUUGUAACAGAUACCUCUUCAGUCUGUUAGGGUGUUAACCCCUGUAGCCUGGUCAGCAGGGAGGAGGGAUGGACUCUGUGGUAAGCAUAUGUUCAAUUUGUAAUAGCGCAGACCCCAUCAUCUAGUUCUAGGGGUGGAACGUA
rnacentral:lncRNA from 1 species